CUCGUCAUGGUCAUUCGAUAAAGCCAGGCAGCCAAUGAGGAGCAGCUACCUUUCGAUUGGGCGAGAGGCCAGUGAAGGGGGAACCCAUCUUAGCAACAGCAGAAAAUAUCGCACAUGCCCUUGCACACAGGCACAAACACAGACACCGCGCCACCCGCCCUGCUGCAGUGAACGGUUGCUGAUUACGUCUCCUAAGGCUUUUGUUUUGCCACAGCCCCACUUCCAAAGGACAAGUUUCUGUUCACAGAUCACACUGCUUACCUGGUCAGACAGCCCAUAAUCCCUUUUUAAUGGAAUGCAGGGGCAACGGUCCUCUCUCUGCCCUCUCCAACACACAUGUUAUUAACGGCAAACUUUGAUCUGCAGUAAUGGAAGGUUGGUGAGAGUGUUUGCAACACGGAAAUCUGCAAAUGCUACAAAUCAGGACUUUUUCUUCCCUGGAGAGCGGCAUGGUGAACGUUGACCAUCACACCACUGAAAGAGAGUUAUCUGAACCAGAAUGAGGAGCUAACUUAGCAAAGACCAGCAGCAAAGUUCACCUAACAUUUGGCAGUCUAUUUACUCCUAGAAGUCUCCUGAUUCCCCUGGUUCCAGU
rnacentral:lncRNA from 10 species